rnacentral:rRNA from 1 species
AUUGAACGCUGGCGGCAUGCCUUACACAUGCAAGUCGAACGGCAGCACGGGAGCAAUCCUGGUGGCGAGUGGCGAACGGGUGAGUAAUAUAUCGGAACGUGCCCGGUCGUGGGGAUAACGUAGCGAAAGCUACGCUAAUACCGCAUACGAUCUACGGAUGAAAGCGGGGGGAUCGCAAGACCUCGCGCGAUUGGAGCGGCCGAUAUCAGAUUAGGUAGUUGGUGAGGUAAAGGCUCACCAAGCCGACGAUCUGUAGCUGGUCUGAGAGGACGACCAGCCACACUGGGACUGAGACACGGCCCAGACUCCUACGGGAGGCAGCAGUGGGGAAUUUGGACAAUGGGCGCAAGCCUGAUCCAGCAAUGCCGCGUGCAGGAUGAA